rnacentral:rRNA from 1 species
AGUGAACGCUGGCGGUAGGCCUAACACAUGCAAGUCGAACGGCAGCGCAGUAAGAGCUUGCUCUUACGGGUGGCGAGUGGCGGACGGGUGAGGAAUACAUCGGAAUCUACUUUUUCGUGGGGGAUAACGUAGGGAAACUUACGCUAAUACCGCAUACGACCUACGGGUGAAAGCAGGGGAUCUUCGGACCUUGCGCGGAUGGAUGCGCCGAUGUGGGAUUAGCUAGUUGGCGGGGUAAAGGCCCACCAAGUCGACGAUCCGUAGCUGGUCGGAGAGGCUGGUAAGCCACACUGGAACGGAGACACGGUCCAGACGCCUACGAGAGGCAGCAGUGGGGAAUAGUGGACAAUGGGCGCAAGCCUGAUCCAGCCAUACCGCGUGGGUGAAGAAGGCCUUCGGGUUGUAAAGCCCUUUUGUUGGGAAAGAAAAGCAGCAGGUUAAUACCCAGCGGUUCUGACGGUACCCAAAGAAUAAGCACCGGCUAACUUCGUG